UGCAGAGGUCUCGAGCGUUGUUCGGAUUCAUUGGGCGUAAAGGGUGCGUAGGUGGCGCCGUAAGUCGGGUGUGAAAUUUCGGAGCUUAACUCCGAAACUGCAUUCGAUACUGCGGUGCUUGAGGACUGGAGAGGAGACUGGAAUUCAUGGUGUAGCAGUGAAAUGCGUAGAGAUCAUGAGGAAGACCAGUGGCGAAGGCGGGUCUCUGGACAGUUCCUGACACUGAGGCACGAAGGCCAGGGGAGCAAACGGG
rnacentral:rRNA from 1 species